rnacentral:rRNA from 1 species
GACGAACGCUGGCGGCGUGCUUAACACAUGCAAGUCGAACGAAGUGGCGAAAGGGUGAGUAACACGUAAUCAACCUGCCCUUCAGAGGGGGACAACAGUUGGAAACGACUGCAAAUACCGCAUACUGAAGGAGGGGAUUGCGUCGGAUUAGCUAGUUGGAGGGGUACCGGCCCACCAAGGCGAUGAUCAGUAGCCGGUGUGAGAGGAUGAACGGCCAAAUUGGGACUGAGACACGGCCCAGACUCCUACGGGAGGCAGCAGUGGGGACUCGUCCGCAAUGGACGAAAGUCUGACGGAGCAACGCCGCGUGAGUGAUGACGGCCUUCGGGUUGUAAAGCUCUGUUAAUCGGGACGCGGUACCGGAAUAGAAAGCCACGGCUAACUACGUGCCAGCCGCCGCGGUAAUAC